AUUGAACGCUGGCGGCAGGCCUAACACAUGCAAGUCGAGCGGAUGACGGGAGCUUGCUCCUUGAUUCAGCGGCGGACGGGUGAGUAAUGCCUAGGAAUCUGCCUGGUAGUGGGGGACAACGUUUCGAAAGGAACGCUAAUACCGCAUACGUCCUACGGGAGAAAGCAGGGGACCUUCGGGCCUUGCGCUAUCAGAUGAGCCUAGGUCGGAUUAGCUAGUUGGCGGGGUAAUGGCCCACCAAGGCGACGAUCCGUAACUGGUCUGAGAGGAUGAUCGGUCACACUGGAACUGAGAAACGGUCCAGACUCCUACGGGAGGAAGCAGUGGGGAAUAUUGGACAAUGGGCGAAAGCCUGAUCCAGCCAUGCCGCGUGUGUGAAGAAGGUCUUCGGAUUGUAAAGCACUUUAAGUUGGGAGGAAGGGCAGUAAGUUAAUACCUUGCUGUUUUGACGUUACCGACAGAAUAAGCACCGGCUAACUCUGUGCCAGCAGCCGCGGUAA
rnacentral:rRNA from 1 species